GGAGAUAGCUCGUACUCCCCGAAAGGCAUUUAGGUGCCGCGUCGGAUGGUCACCGUGAGAGGUAGAGCGACCGAUAGGACAAGAGGGCUUCACCGCCUAUCGAGUCCUGACGAACUCCGAAUUCUCACGCUCUGCAGUCCGGCAGUAAGGGGGCGGGUGCUAAGGUCCGUCCCCGAGAGGAGAAGAAUCCAGACCGCCGUCUAAGGUCCCGGAGUUCUGCCUGAGUUAGUCUAACGAAGUCUGGUCCCUAUGACAGCUAGGAUGUUGGCUUGGAAUCAGCCAUUCAUUCAAAGAGUGCGU
rnacentral:rRNA from 1 species